AUUUCAAUUUUUUUUGGAGUAUGUUAUCAAGUGUCAUGCCUGGGGGAAAGCCUGGCUGUCUAUGCAGAGGCUCUGGAAGAGAAAUUAGGUUGCUGACUGGCUGGAGAUAAUUUGCUCUGUGUAAUUCUGAAGACAUCAUUUCAGUGAAGAUCUCUUCUUGUAAUUCUUCAAGACGUUUUUCUUUGAGGGGAUCAUGCUAACAAAAUGGAAAAAUGCUUCUGACAUCUAAAAGAGUAUCUUUGCCAUCCAUCCUUUUGUUGUAGUUGAUGAUUGGUUGAUGGGAUUAAUAAUGUGUACUAGAAUAAAAGAGAUAAAGGUGGCUAAAUCAGCGACCCUGAAAUUCCAUGACCAGCCAGAGAGGGGUUUUAGUCCUUACAAUACCACUUUCUUAGUCCAGAAUCUCAUCAUUUGUAACUUUGAUCUACACAACCUCUUUUUGCCACAAGAUCCAAAGGAAAUAUGGAAAAUAAAGGUAAGUAAAAAAGAUGAACAAUUUUUUCGUGAUUAACCCCACUCUAAAAAAAAGAAAAAAAAAAACCCAUAUUAAUCAAGAACUGAAAUUCUAGACCAACCGAUCUAGUAGUUUUGAGAGGAGGGGAUUGAGAGAGAUAGACCAGAAGCAGGUGAGAGCAGGCUACGGUUCUGCAUUUUGAAUUAUAUCCCUAAUGGUGUCUGUCUGUGUGUGUGCGCGUGUGUGUGUGUA